ACGUAGGGGGCAAGCGUUGUCCGGAAUUACUGGGCGUAAAGCGCACGCAGGCUGAAUUAUAAGUCGGUAGUCAAAGGCGGAGGCUUAACUUCCGUUUAUCUAUCGAAACUGUAAAUCUAGAGUAUGUGAGAGGGAAGUGGAAUUCCCGGUGUGGGGGUGAAAUGCGUAGAUAUCGCGAUAAGCUGCAAUGGCGAAGGCGGCUGCCUGGAACAAUACCGACUCUCAUGUGCGAAAGUUAAGGUAACGAAGAG
rnacentral:rRNA from 1 species